rnacentral:ncRNA from 1 species
CGAAUAGCUAGGAACGGGAAAAGCAUUCCGUAACACUUUCAGAGAGACGGCGAUCGGUGCGAGCCGGCAGGGAAGGGAUGCACGCUCACCCGGGAGUUUCAGAGAUGAAAAAAGUAGUUUCUGACGCCGCCUGCGUUACAGGCACCUGAAAAGCGAUGAUCGGGACAAAGCAUUCCGUGGUCCAUGACAUAGAGAGCCGGCGUAUGGUGCAAGCCGGAACAUUCCACUGAUUGAUAUCACCUGUGAGCUCCUUCUUCGAACGUAGUAAAUGAAGGCGUCUAUCCACGUUACGGAUGUGAGCUUGAGUAUAAUGUAGGGUGGUACCGCGCAUGUCGCCCCUAUUUCCGGAAUGGAAAUAGGGGCGUUUUUAUAUGGUGACAUCUCAUUAGAAAGCGCUCUUUUGAGUGAUAAAACCAGGGUGGUACCGCGGAAAUCUUUCGCCCCUGCU